rnacentral:antisense_RNA from 1 species
AGGGGAUGAAAAGGAAGGGGUGCCGCAGCUUGCACAGAAGGUAUGGGAAUGGCAUUACUGCUUUAUUCUUUGCCUUGGUCUACACAGGAAUAAAGCAAAGAAGAAACUGGUGCCUAAGGUCACACUGAUAAUAGAUGAAGUGAUGGAGCAAGGAUUCAACCGCCAGCAGUUCGGUUCCUCAGCCUCUGUGAAACUACUUAUUUGAAGCUUUAUUCCAACUGACUCCUAAAAGGUCUUACCAGAUCCUGCACAUCUAUAGGAAGGAGGGAGAAUGUUUGACAGCAGCCCCCGAUCUCAUAUGCUACCCAUGACCAUCUGUUACACCUUAGAGGGAAUCUAAAUCAUCUAAUCACUAAAUGAUGCGCCCACUGCUUCAUCUCUACUUAUACAGUGAAAGAUCAUAGCUUUCAUCAAAGGUAUUUUGAGCAUCAAAUUGGAAAUCCUGGGAAACUCCUGGGCGUGGAGG